CGGAGUGUAGCUCAGCCUGGUAGAGCACUGUCUUCGGGAGGCAGGGGCCGUGAGUUCAAAUCUCGCCACUCCGACCA
rnacentral:tRNA from 1 species